rnacentral:rRNA from 1 species
AUUGAACGCUGGCGGCAUGCCUUACACAUGCAAGUCGAACGGCAGCGGACCUUCGGGUGCCGGCGAGUGGCGAACGGGUGAGUAAUAUAUCGGAACGUACCUUUCAGUGGGGGAUAACGUAGCGAAAGUUACGCUAAUACCGCAUAUUCUGUGAGCAGGAAAGCAGGGGAUCGCAAGACCUUGCGCUGAUUGAGCGGCCGAUAUCAGAUUAGCUAGUUGGUGAGGUAAAGGCUCACCAAGACGACGAUCUGUAGCGGGUCUGAGAGGAUGAUCCGCCACACUGGAACUGAGACACGGUCCAGACUCCUACGGGAGGCAGCAGUGGGGAAUUUUGGACAAUGGGCGCAAGCCUGAUCCAGCCAUGCCGCGUGAGUGAAGAAGGCCUCGGUUGUAAGUAC